rnacentral:rRNA from 1 species
UUGAAAGGGAAACGAUUGAAGUCAGUCGUACCAGCGGGAAAUCAACCUUUCGAGUGGGGGUUUUGGAGUUUUGAAGAGUUUCAAAACCUUUGAGAUUUCAAAAAUUUCGCUCUUUUGGUGUACUUUCUCGUGGGUAGGUUAACAUCGAUUUUGAUCAUCAUAAAAAGAUUGGAGGAAUGUAGCUUCGAUCUUGUAUUGAAGUGUUAUAGCCUUUGGUAAAUGUGAUGAUUAGGAUCGAGGAUUGCAACGAAUACCCUUUUGGGCUAUCCGCCUGAUCUCUGAUACGUGGCCUUGGUAUCGAAAGCUUGCUUAUGGUAAAAAAGUAUUACGGUCAAAGGGUUAGAACGGAUUACAUUCGUUAAGGAUGUUGACGUA